CAAGACUUACUGAAUUACUCAGUAACUGUAAGCCUGGCUUUGAAGGCAGUCCGUGAACACUCCCUGCAACUCCCACUCUGCCACUGCUCAUGAAGAUUUGUGGGGAGAGGGAAUCAUGAUUUUAAGGGGCUCGCUUUCCAUCUGGCUGUGCCCUGUUGGCCUCACAGAGGGGAAGCAGCCCGUGGCUUGAUCCCACCCUGCUCAGGACCCUUGGAUGCCUGGGGUGCAAGCAUGGCACCUUUGGGAUACCCUCUGCACAUGCUCCUUGACUGUCUGUAAGAGUCACAGUGCCUGAGAAAAGAAGUGAAAUGCUCCAGCAGAAAGAUGUGUAUGUCAGCUGUGGAUUCCUCCCCAUCACCUUCCCAGAGAGGAGGCGUCUCAGCAGCUGUGCUAGAAACGUAGGCUGCUCAUCUCUGUGGUCCUGUUGCUAUGUCCCACGUCCCAACUUGGAUCUAUACGCUCAUUUUAAGAAGAGCCUCACUUCAAAAGAAGCUACCAGCCUGGUUCCUUCCCCAGUCUCAUCCUGGUCCUGAAAAGAGGUGCUGCUGAAAACACCCAGUUGUUUGUCCCAGUGAAUACGGGGCACAUUCCUGGGACUACUGGAAAGAGCAAAACAGGGGAACACUGUGGACACACAAUGGAAGAAAAACCCUGGAAAAAAUUAUGGCAACGAGUAAAUCUUCUGGUACCCAUUAGAAGGUAAUAAUUCUAACCAAAGGAAGGCGGGGUUUCCCAUUGUAAAAUGAAAUAAACAUUCAUAAAUGAUUUGUGUGUGUGUUUAACUUUAAAUUUAGAAUUUUAUUAAGUUUAUUGUUCAAAGGCCCUUUUCUUCUCAGGGUAGUUUGGUUACAAUCUUCUCUUAAGUAAGAAGAUCUCUGCAAGGAACACAGCCUCUGAAGUUUGCUUUGCUCAGCUCCCAUUGUGCAAAAUAACACCACACUGUGAUAUUUGACAGCAGAUCUUUCAGUCUUUUAAUCACUGCUAUAGUCCUGGUAGAUGUGCAGCAUCUCAGAUUGAGUUUUGAGUGUUUCUGUGUUAGGUUUGUGCUGCAAAUAAACAUGGAUCAUCGCGGGGCAGGUCAGUGGUGAGGGAGAUCCUGACCUGAUGCCCUGCCAUGGGGCUGGGGGAUUUCCAGGUUGGAGGAUGCUCAGCAUCCACCUUUCAGACCAGUUUCCCAUUUUUUGUGCAACUAUAUUUAAGAAGUUAUUGUGAAGUAGUUAUUUGUGAAAAGCAAGCUGGCGCAUAGAUGUAGCCUUUCAUGUUGCUCACUUCCUGAUUAAAAAAGGUGCUUUAGUGCAUCUUGAAAUACUUUCCUGAGAGGAACUUACAUUAAAACAUCUGUAAGCCAUGCUUUGAGGUAGUAAGGCUGUGGUCUGUGCAAUUAAAGAGAAGGUACGGCUUUUUAAAAUGUUUACGUUUUCUGAGCAUAAUAAAGACUCUGUGCUGUUACUAGAGUCACAAAAGUAAAUGUUAAUAUCAGCCUGGCCCAAAUUCCAGAGUAAAAACUAACUCAGGUCUGUGUCAUUAACUCAAUAACUGUAUCAUCUCAGUAACUGCCAGGAUCUCUUUUUUUUUUUUUUUUUUCCUCUUCUACAUGAAUCUCUGAUUUUUAAUAUUCAGGUACAUUAGACUGUAAUUUCCUAUUGAUUUUUAAGCUGUGAAGAUGAAGAAAUAGAAUUUUAAGAAGUGCUAUCAGUUAUUUGAUUAAAUUAAUUGCCCCCUUUCACACACAUUAGUAACAUAAUAUCCUUAAUUUCACAGUAGCAUGAAGAUGUUAUCUUAUUUUUGAAUUCUGGUUGCCUGUACUGUGUGUCC